GCCUCUGUGCGCUAAUGGCAAAGCGGUUUCGCUUAAAACGAAAUGACUGGGAGUUCGAAUCUCCUCAGAGGUAC
rnacentral:tRNA from 1 species